UAUCGAGAUACUCGCGAUGCCACAUUGCACCACCAAUCUCGCGUGGUAUCUUGGAAAAUUUAUUAUCGGAUUUACUGGGAUUCUAUUUCUUUAUGUUAAUUUGUUGAAAGAAAAUGAGAAGAGCUGCGCGUGUGAUAUUAAAAUGAGAGAAUUACUAAGGGAGAAGAGUGAAAAGUGAGAGAGUCACGCUGGUCAUACGCGCGCGUCUUUCUUUUAAAGCUUUUAUUUCAUCACAUAAAAUUUUAUCUUUCUUUCAUGGAAUAGCAUGUAGUAUAAUUCGGAAAAAGUGUAGUGAAUAAGUAUAAGCGCGAUGACAAGAGCGUCCCUUAAUAUUAUCUUAAGUAUAGAGUAGAGCUUAUAUAUUCAGCGAAAGUCGCAAAAGAAUUACGCUUCGUAUGACCGGCGAGAUCAUCAUAAUAAUAAUUAAAUUAUAUCAGAAUUGAUGUAACACAAGCAGUACUAAUUUUUAAUAUGUUAGACGACCGAAUAAAUGUAAAUGUGCGAAAAGGUAAGUGGAUGAAAUACGAAAUACGAAAUUUUAGCACUUGGAACAGCAUUAUUUUUUGCAUAUCUCUCUCAUGUAAUUUAGCUUUGUUAUUUAAAAAAAA